AAAUAAUAUCUACAUGUAUCAGAUUCCAAAUGGGAAGGAUUCUGUCUUUCAAAUCCAUUAAGCAAAAACAAACAAGAGAAACUGUUACACUUAAGUACAAAGAAUGACACUGAUUAUGCUUUGGGGAACGUGAAGGGAUCACUGAGAGAUAACACUUGAUUUACUACUCUGUGACUUUCUCACUUGAUGAAUUUCUCCACUUAGCCAUUUAGACUUUAGCUUUAGUGGAGACCCGCUACACUCCGGUUGCAGGGGGGUAGAUUCCAGAGACUCAAUUUUGAUUGUGAGUAAUUACAUCCAACUUCAAUACUUAAUUAACUCUGAAUUUUCUUAACUCCCUCUUCCCUCCUCUUAAAACAAACACAUAUCCAAAAAACAAGCCUCCCCCAGAAGCCACCACUGAAAAAAAUUAGUUCAAGUCAAGAAUUUGGCAUAAAAAUACAUGAGCCAAGUAACUGCAUAUGGUUACAAAAUGUUUCAAUGGUGCUCUUUCUCCUUGAAUUAAAAUUUUAAUGUGUCAAGUUGAUUCCCUGGAUUGUUAGAGAUUAAAAAAAAAACAACAGGAUACUUUAAGAAACUUUGCUUUAAAAGAGUGAGAAGAAAGGGAAGAAACAAUUCCCAUUUUUUCCUGGCUCAGAGUGUCUAGUGUUAAAGUCAAAUUUUAAUCUCGUAGAUAAUGAAAAAAAUUACUGCGUCAGAUUUUCCCUCCUAUCUUAAGAUGUUGUAAAAACUAUAGUGACUUAAUUUGUUUUUAUUAAUCUUUUCUUUUCUUUCUUUUUUUUUUUUUUUUAGUACAAGGGGGUGGGAGUGGUUUUUUGCACGUGUUUUAAGUAAGCCUGAACAAAUUUAUCUUCGUUCUUUUGCCUGUAUUCUUUUGACUCUUGUUUGUAGGAGUUUGGAUGGGGAAAAAACCCAAAAGAUGAGGGUUAGCUAUGUUUCUUGCACAAGUUUGUAUAUUUGCAUUUUUAAAAUAUUUAGGAGCUACAUUAUCUAAUGUACUCUUUCUAUUUAUCUAAAAAAGAAAACACAAUACUACAAUAUACAGUGUGUUUUUUUCUUUAUUCCUUUACGGUUGUUAAUGUACACAGUAGAUGUAGGAAAUUUAAGAUUUGAGCCCAGCAAAAUAAUUACCAGGGAGGAAACGAUGGGUUUGCUUGAGGAAAGGAACAAACACUAUUCAUAGGCUUUACCACCUCUGUAAGAUUUGUGAACUCUGGGAAUGAUUAGGAAGUGAUUGGCUGGCAUGACAAAAUUGAGAGGCAAAACACCUUAACUUUGAAACACAAUCUCCAAUGUCUGAGUGUGUGAAUUAACAGCUGACCAAGUGUGUUAUGAAUAGGGAAACAAAUGAAAGCUGAGGGAAAUUUUUGGAAGUUGAAUGUUUCCUACACUGUAAUCACCUGUUUGCCUUGAGUUACUUACAUGCUUUAUCUCCAACAUCUGUUGCUCAGAUUUAGGACCUAUGAGCAACGUGACCUCAAAUGUAAAGUGAGUUGACCUAAAAGCAAAAAUCUUUUCAAAUGCCAUCAAGAAGUGAGCUUUGUUACACAACAAUAAUUAGACUAAUGAAAAACAAUAAACUUUUUCUUAAUUUUCUUUAAGGCUGAAGCUGAUGUGUGAUUAUGCUCUUUAUUCUUUAAUUUAUAGCUGUUCCUUAGUAGCCACCAAUGCUGUCUUUUUUCAGUUUACACAGACCCACAGAUCUUCUGCUCCAUGAGGCCUGGGAGGCAGCGUGACCUUGAGGAAAAGCCUGAGGCCUUGAGUUGGAAGGCUUUGGUCUUGAAUCCCAGCCCUGUCCCUGGGCCUUAACUUCCUUAAGAGGCAUUUGUGGCUGCCAGUUGUGACUCCAAGAGAGAGCUUGUUCCUGCCUGCCUGUUCCUUGGGCUUGGAGAAGGACCCCCCAAGUCACUCUGUACUACAUUAGGAACAUAAG